CUGACAAACAUUUCAAUUAAAUACGUAUUUCGAAUGUUUUGAAUCUCUAUCUCUCACUUUUUGUUCUGUUCUGUAUUGUUCCAUUCGGUGGGAUCAUCAUAACAAUAAAAAAACCAAAAAAACAUACAUACACACGCACGCCAAAUGAAGCCUUUGAACAUUUCUUACUCAUUCAACCUGAACACGCUUGCAAGUUUGGCUUAUGUAAAAAGAAAUCCACACACUCAUCAUUAUAUUCCAGCGAAAUAAAUGAGCAGCCACAGAAAGGAAUUUUCCAUUCAUCAUCGUCAUGCCAAGAGUCAAUUACAUGGAAGUAACUCAUCAUUAAACCGUUAUUCCUGAUUUGCCGUAAAAUGUAAAUGUUCAUUUGUCGAUUGGCAAUCAAAGUCAUAAACAAUCAUAAUUCCAGUAAUGAAGAGCCAAGAGAGCGAAUAAGCGAUAGAAAAUAGCAACAUUCUAUUGAAGCAUCGUGCUCAAGUCCAUGCGAUGACUUUUCAUUUAUUGCACACGCGUGUACAAUGCAAAAAAAAAA